GACGAACGCUGGCGGCGUGCUUAACACAUGCAAGUCGAGCGGUAAGGCCCUUCGGGGUACGACGAGCGGCGAACGGGUGAGUAACACGUGGGUGACCUGCCCUCAGUUCUGGGAUAAGCCUGGGAAACCGGGUCUAAUACUGGAUAUGACCUCAUGACGCAUGUUGUGGGGUGGAAAGCCUUGUGCGACUGAGGAUGGGCCCGCGGCCUAUCAGCUUGUUGGUGGGGUGANGGCCUACCAAGGCGACGACGGGUAGCCGGCCUGAGAGGGCGACCGGCCACACUGGGACUGAGACACGGGCCCAGACUCCUACGGGAGGCAGCAGU
rnacentral:rRNA from 1 species